CCCUGAUGCUGCCCUUCAUUAUAAGUAACUUUGGGGGAGGAGGGGGAAGGGGGGGGGGAUUCAGGCUCGGCAGACAGAUGAUCAGAAUCCGCUGACACAGUGAAGAGCCGUCUGGGUGUCAAGUUAUGCAGCGAGAAUAUUUAGCUGGACCCGGUGGUACGGUGGGAGGAGGAGUUGAGGAAAAGAUUUACAGAGCAACAGUGGAGUUUUACCUUUGAUAUUCAUAGGAAGCUCUCUAGAUGUGUCAAUCAUUUUGAAU